rnacentral:hammerhead_ribozyme from 17 species
AGGGCGUCUGGGGUAGGAGUCACUGCCAUCAAAACACCCCCCUCCCCCCCCCCCCCCCCACUGAUGAGUCUAGGCAGCGACUCCGAGACGAAACGCAUC